GUAAGAAGACAAAUAAAUAACAAAUUAAUUACUAAAGAAAUUUAUGACAUAAAAAGCAAAAAGAAAAAGAGAAAAGAAAAGAAAAGAAAAAAAAAAGAAAAAGGAAAAGAAAAAGAAGAAAUUGAAAGAAACAGAAAACGUGAGUUUUCUGCUCCAUAGCUCCAUCUCAGUUUUGUCUUUCACAAAAACCCACCCAUGAAUUUCUAAAUCAAAAUGGGUUCUUGAACACAAUCAAACCUAUUUGCAAAUAAAAUUCAUUAAUCAAACCAAAUCACCCAUUCUAAAAUCAAAAUGAGUUUCUUGCACACAAUCAAACUCAUCUUCAAAUAUAUAUUCAUACUCAACCCAAAUCACCCAAUAACCCAUUUUUGGUUAUUCAAUUCCAUCAAUUCAUUUGGGCAGAAAUUGAAACUCAACCAUGGCUAUAAAUAGCCAUGUUCAUCUCCUUAAACCAUUCACCCAAACCACUUGAGUCUUCGCCGGAAAACACCACCCAAAACACCCCUCAAAUCCCCUGUUUUUUUUCAAUUCUCUCUCUCCUCUGUUUUCGUGCGACCACCGUAGCACCACCACCCUCCACCGACAACCACCGUCGCUAUAACCACCACCGCCUGCUUCUGUUCGCAACCAACAACCACCGCGGCGCCAACCCAGCCGUAUUCCCUUCUCCGUCGCUCAGCUUCUUCCCCCUCCUCUCGCCCAGUUUACCCCUCUCUCGUGUCUCCCUCCUCGUCACGUCGUUGACCCGCGCGCACCGCAACAGCACCACCGAACCACCGCCGUGCGACCGACACCAGCUUCGUGCUAUUCCCCCUGCUCUGGUUCAACGUCUGCUCAAGUUGGAGCAGAGAUUAAAAAGGAAGAGAUAUUACAAGCUUUCCCCUACGAUCAAGGUUGUUAAGCAGGAUUCCAGGUAUGCAUACGAAGAUGAGAUGACGUAGCAGUGAGGAUUAAAUUACUUUAGUGCGACUAUGAUGGUUAUGUAAUCCAAGUUUAUGAUCACUAGAUUACGUAGCAUCAUCUAUGCUUAAGCUAUUUAUAUAUAUUUCUAGAAUUAAUACCACUAUUAUAGAAGUUUAGUGAUAUGAAAGAAUGUUGCCUUGUACUUUCCUGUGUGGAGAGUACGACAGUGACGCACCGACUAAGCUAGGAAGGUCUUCCGCUGCUAAUCUUUGUAAUUAAUUAACCUAAUAGUGAUGAUUAGAAGUCGGGGUGUUACAGCUA